AUUGAACGCUGGCGGCAGGCCUAACACAUGCAAGUCGAGCGGAUGAAGGGGGCUUGCUCCUGGAUUCAGCGGCGGACGGGUGAGUGAUGCCUAGGAAGCUGCCUGGUAGUGGGGGAUAACGUCCGUAAACGGGCGCUAAUACCGCAUACGUCAUGAGGGAGAAAGUGGGGGAUCUUCGGACCUCGCGCUACUAGAUGAGCCUAGGUCGGAUUAGCUAGUUGGUUGGGUAAAGGCCUACCAAGGCGACGAUCCGUAACUGGUCUGAGAGGAUGAUCAGUCACACUGGAACUGAGACACGGUCCAGACUCCUACGGGAGGCAGCAGUGGGGAAUAUUGGACAAUGGGCGAAAGCCUGAUGCAGCCAUGCCGCGUGUGUGAAGAAGGUCUUCGGAUUGUAAAGCACUUUUAGUUGGGAGGAAGGGCAGUAAGUUAAUACCUUGCUGUCUUGACGUUACCAAAAGAAUAAGCACCGGCUAACUUCGUG
rnacentral:rRNA from 1 species